ACACGACUACAUUAGAUACCCCGGUAGUCCUAGCCGUAAACGAUACUCGCUAGGUGUCGGCCACGGUGCGACCGUUGUCGGUGCCGUAGGGAAGCCGUGAAGCGAGCCACCUGGGAAGUACGGCCGCAAGGCUGAAACUUAAAGGAAUUGGCGGGGGAGCACCACAACGGGUGGAGCUUGCGGUUUAAUUGGAUUCAACGCCGGAAAUCUUACCGGGACCGACAGCAACAUGAAGGCCAGGCUGAAGACUUUGCCGGAUUAGCUG
rnacentral:rRNA from 1 species